CAGCAGCCGCGGUAAUACGAAGGGUGCAAGCGUUAAUCGGAAUUACUGGGCGUAAAGCGUGCGUAGGCGGUUUGUUAAGUCUGCUGUGAAAUCCCCGGGCUCAACCUGGGAAUGGCAGUGGAUACUGGCAAGCUAGAGUGUGUCAGAGGAUGGUGGAAUUCCCGGUGUAGCGGUGAAAUGCGUAGAGAUCGGGAGGAACAUCAGUGGCGAAGGCGGCCAUCUGGGACAACACUGACGCUGAGGCACGAAAGCGUGGGGAGCAAACAGGAUUAGAUACCCCAGUAGUCCCUGCUCUUAUACA
rnacentral:rRNA from 1 species